CCAGAUAGCAGCUGACUCUGGGCCGGAUCCGCCUCCAAACCGGCAGAUCCGUGUAACAGUCACCCCCGUUUUACUGCCCCAUUCCAGAUACGGCCCGCAUGUAGUCUGUGUACAUCGGGAGUAGGCGUGAACAUCCAUCAGUCGGCGGAAUCAUAAUAGUUCUGGCCCGGACUCGUCGGAACGAGCGCGCGAAUUGUUUCCUUUUUUUUUUUUAACCGGUUCAUUCCAGAUCAGAAGUCAGUCGGCGGAAUCGUUGUUGUUCUGGCCCGGGGCCGUUGGAACGAGCGCGUGAACUGUUGGUCAUUUGGAUCUUCGGACUGCAAGCUCCGUGGAAAGAGUUUAUAACGAUAUUUUCUUCACCCCUGGCUGCGAGAGCCCCGGAUUAAUAGGAGGCUGUACGGAAGAACCAAGUUGCUAGCAGCGCAUCGGACAACGAGAUUAACCAGCACGCCAUCCGCUGGUUCAACCCGGCCUCUGACCGCGGAGGUGGCCGCAAAGAACGUGCCAUGGCCAGAGAUGCAUUAACCAUGGUAAAUUGUAGAUAAAUCAUUGUGCUAGUCUUUUGUAGAAACAUUUGUUUUGUGUUUAACUUUGCAAAUUGUUGUUAAUAGCAUUGCAGCUACGUAGUACGUAUGUAGGAACAGUGACAUAUUUUUUCAGGGCUGUCCUGGGAACGAUAGAAAUAUUCUGUAGGAUGCAUCUAUAGGACGAAAGGGAUUGUGUAAGCCUAUGUGUUUAUUUAUUACGAUCACUUAGCAAAUGACAAACUAAACCAACUGAGCGCUGACUACAAUGGAGGCCAUCUUCUCACGCUGUUACACGGGUGUGUGACC